UGGCUCAGAGGUUAAGAGCACUGACUGCUUUUCCAGAGGUCCUGGGUUCAAAUCCCAG
rnacentral:tRNA from 1 species